rnacentral:rRNA from 1 species
ACGGGGGCCCGCACAAGCGGUGGAGCCAUGUGGUUUAAUUCGAUGAUACGCGAGGAACCUUACCUGGGCUCAAAUGUAUGUUGACGUAUUCUGAAAGGGAUACUUCUUCGGACAAUAUACAAGGUGCUGCAUGGUUGUCGUCAGCUCGUGCCGUGAGGUGUCGGGUUAAGUCCCAUAACGAGCGCAACCCCUAUCAUUAGUUGCCAUCAGGUCAAGCUGGGGACUCUAAUGAAACUGCCUACGCAAGUAGUGAGGAAGGUGGGGAUGACGUCAAAUCAGCACGGCCCUUACGUCCAGGGCUACACACGUGCUACAAUGGCCGAUACAAAGGGCAGCGACACUGCGAGGUGAAGCCAAUCCCGUAAAAUCGGUCUCAGUCCGGAUUGGAGUCUGCAACUCGACUCCAUGAAGUUGGAAUCGCUAGUAAUCGUGGAUCAGCAUGCCACGGUGAAUACGUUCCCGGGCCUU